AUUGAACGCUGGCGGCAGGCUUAACACAUGCAAGUCGAGCGGAGUGAUGGUGCUUGCACUAUCACUUAGCGGCGGACGGGUGAGUAAUGCUUAGGAAUCUGCCUAUUAGUGGGGGACAACAUCUCGAAAGGGAUGCUAAUACCGCAUACGUCCUACGGGAGAAAGCAGGGGAUCACUUGUGACCUUGCGCUAAUAGAUGAGCCUAAGUCGGAUUAGCUAGUUGGUGGGGUAAAGGCCUACCAAGGCGACGAUCUGUAGCGGGUCUGAGAGGAUGAUCCGCCACACUGGGACCGAGACACGGCCCAGACUCCUACGGGAGGCAGCAGUGGGGAAUAUGGGACAAUGGGGGGAACCCUGAUCCAGCCAUGCCGCGUGUGUGAAGAAGGCCUUAUGGUUGUAAAGCACUUUAAGCGAGGAGGAGGCUCUUUUGGUUAAUACCCAAGAUGAGUGGACGUUACUCGCAGAAUAAGCACCGGCUAACUCUGUGCCAGCCGCCGCUGUAA
rnacentral:rRNA from 1 species